rnacentral:tRNA from 1 species
AGAAAAAUAAGCUAAAUUAUUAAAGCUUUUGGGUUCAUACCUCAAAUAUAGAUUAAAAUCUUUUUUCUA